rnacentral:rRNA from 1 species
GUGGGGAAUCUUGCACAAUGGGCGAAAGCCUGAUGCAGCGACGCCGCGUGGGGGAUGAAGCAUUUCGGUGUGUAAACCCCUUUCGACCGGGAAGAAUGCCUCGCAAGAGGAGUGACGGUACCGGUAUAAGAAGCCCCGGCUAACUACGUGCCAGCAGCCGCGGUAAGACGUAGGGGGCCAGCGUUGUUCGGAAUUACUGGGUGUAAAGGGUUCGUAGGCGGUGUGGCAAGUCGGGAGUGAAAUCUAUGGGCUUAACCCAUAGGCUGCUUCCGAAACUGCUGUGCUUGAGUGUGGGAGAGGCGCGUGGAAUUGCAGGUGUAGCGGUGAAAUGCGUAGAUAUCUGCAGGAACACCCGUGGCGAAAGCGGCGCGCUGGACCACAACUGACGCUGAGGAACGAAAGCUAGGGGAGCAAACAGGAUUAGAUACCCUAGUAGUCC